GCCCUUGAAAUACCACCCUGUUGUUAUUGAGGUUCUAACUUGGUCCAGUAAUCCUGGAUGAGGACAGUGUAUGAUGGGUAGUUUGACUGGGGCGGUCUCCUCCCAAAGAGUAACGGAGGAGCACAAAGGUACCCUCGGUACGGUCGGACAUCGUACCAAGAGUGUAAAGGCAAAAGGGUGCUUGACUGCGAGAGUGACGGCUCGAGCAGGAACGAAAGUUGGUCUUAGUGAUCCGGUGGUUCUGAAUGGAAGGGCCAUCGCUCAACGGAUAAAAGGUACUCCGGGGAUAACAGGCUGAUACCGCCCAAGAGUUCAUAUCGACGGCGGUGUUUGGCACCUCGAUGUCGGCUCAUCACAUCCUGGGGCUGAAGCAGGUCCCAAGGGUAUGGCUGUUCGCCAUUUAAAGUGGUACGCGAGCUGGGUUUAGAACGUCGUGAGACAGUUCGGUCCCUAUCUGCCGUGGGCGUAGGAAAAUUGAGAGGAGCUGCUCCUAGUACGAGAGGACCGGAGUGGACGAACCUCUGGUGCACCGGUUGUCACGCCAGUGGCAUGGCCGGGUAGCUAAGUUCGGACGGGAUAACCGCUGAAAGCAUCUAAGCGGGAAGCCUCCCUCAAGAUGAGUUUUCCCAUGAAGCCCGUUGAAGACUACGACGUUGAUAGGCAAGGUGUGGAAGCGCAGUAAUGCGUGAAGCUAACUUGUACUAAUUGGCUGAUUG
rnacentral:rRNA from 1 species